AUGGAGCUCGAACAACCGCGCGCUCUGAGGUUGCACAUGAGGGGUUAUGGGAACGACAACAUGUGGGUUGAUGUUGAUUUCCUUGCCUCUCACGUGAUGUACCUCCGUCGUGGUUGGAAGACGUUCACUCGUGCCCACGGCUUCUCGGAUGGGCACGCCCUCCAGUUCAAAUUAGUGGAGAGCGGCCUUCUCUCCGUCAAGAUCUUUGGGCGGUUGGGAGGUCGCUUAGGGUGCUGCCCGAAGAGCUCUACCGAUGACAAAAGCUCCUCCUCGAGUGAAAGCGACGAGGAGGACAGUGACGACAGCAGGAGGGAGGGCGACGACUCUGACUCCGGCUAA
rnacentral:rRNA from 1 species